UAACAUCUAAGGGAGCAUGAGCUGAUGCUAGGCUGCUCUUACCAUCCUUAGAUGGCAGCUCAGAAGGUUGGUGGCACCUUAUCACCCCUGCUGGGUGACAAGAAUAAAGGCUCUGCCCAGGCUGAGGCAGGAGAAUUGCUUGAACCCGGGAGGCGGAGGUUGCAGUGAGCCGAGAUCACGCCAUUGCACUCCAACCCUGGGUGACAGUGCGAGACUCCAUCUCAAAAAAGAAAAAAAGAAAAGGGGGAAAAUGACAAGUAAAUAUUCUUCUCUCUUUUUGAGUCUGUGUCAUAUUCAGCACUGUGAACCCUUACCAGCAAGUGACUAUUUUUGAGUUACAGGAAGGAAAGGUGAGCAGCCAUGUGGCUAAAGAAAGCUCCUUAACUAGGACAUAUGGGAAGCAAAAGAUGGUUAACAUUUUUCUGCUGAAUGAAUUCUACAUUCUUUCACAUUCUUUGUGUUGAAAUAAACUUCUAGCUUAUCUUUCAAA
rnacentral:lncRNA from 1 species